AUUGAACGCUGGCGGAAUGCUUUACACAUGCAAGUCGAACGGCAGCGACGGGGCAACCCUGGUGGCGAGUGGCGAACGGGUGAGUAAUACAUCGGAACGUGCCCAAUCGUGGGGGAUAACGUAGCGAAAGCUACGCUAAUACCGCAUACGAUCUACGGAUGAAAGCGGGGGAUCGCAAGACCUCGCGCGAAUGGAGCGGCCGAUGGCAGAUUAGGUAGUUGGUGGGGUAAAGGCUCACCAAGCCGACGAUCUGUAGCUGGUCUGAGAGGACGACCAGCCACACUGGGACUGAGACACGGCCCAGACUCCUACGGGAGGCAGCAGUGGGGAAUUUUUGGACAAUGGGCGCAAGCCUGAUCCAGCCAUUCCGCGUGCAGGAUGAAGG
rnacentral:rRNA from 1 species